rnacentral:rRNA from 1 species
UGACUCGUCUAGGGUUGAGAGUGGCGCACGGGUGAGUAACACGUAGCUAACCUGCCCCGGAGUGGGGGACAACCAUUGGAAACGAUGGCUAAUACCCCAUACGUUCGCUGGAAAUAGCACCCAGCGAAGAAAGUUCCGGCGCUCUGGGAGGGGGCUGCGAUCCAUCAGCUAGUUGGUAGGGUAACGGCCUACCAAGGCGAAGACGGAUAGGGGGCCUGAGAGGGUGACCCCCCACACUGGCACUGAGAUACGGGCCAGACUCCUACGGGAGGCAGCAGUGAGGAAUAUUGCCCAAUGGACGCAAGUCUGAGGCAGCAACGCCGCGUGAACGAAGAAGGCCUUCGGGUUGUAAAGUUCUUUUCUGUGGGAAGAAACGGACGGUACCACAGGAAUAAGUGUCGGCUAACUACGUGCCAGCAGCCGCGGUAAAACGUAGGACGCAAGCGUUAUCCGGAUUUACUGGGCGUAAAGCGCGUGCAGGCGGCGAUUUAAGUCGUGCGUGAAAGCUCCCGGCUCAACCGGGAGAGGUCGUACGAAACUGGGUCGCUUGAGGACAGCAGAGGCGUAUGGAAUUCCGGGUGUAGUGGUGAAAUGCGUAGAUAUCCGGAGGAACACCAGAGGCGAAGGCGACACGCUGGGCUGUACCUGACGCUCAGACGCGAAAGCGUGGGUAGCGAACGGGAUUAGAAACCCCGGUAGUCCACGCCGUAAACGAUGUGCACUAGGCGUAUGGUCUUCGGACUGUGUGCCGCAGCAAACGCGAUAAGUGCACCGCCUGGGGACUACGGCCGCAAGGCUAAAACUCAAAGGAAUUGACGGGGGCCCGCACAAGCAGCGGAGCGUGUGGUUUAAUUCGAGCCUACGCGAAGAACCUUACCUGGGUUUGACACAUCGGUGGUAGGGAACCGAAAGGGGACCGACCUUCGGGAGCCGAUACAGGUGCUGCAUGGCUGUCGUCAGCUCGUGCCGUGAGGUGUUCGGUUAAGUCCGGUAACGAGCGCAACCCUCGUCGUCAGUUACAAGUGUCUGGCGAGACUGCCCGUGACAAGCGGGAGGAAGGUGGGGAUGACGUCAUGUCAGCACGGCCUUUAUGCCCAGGGCUACACACACGCUACAAUGGCCGGUACAACAGGUCGCCAACCCGCGAGGGGGAGCCAAUCCUCUAAAGCCGGUCUCAGUUCGGAUUGUAGGCUGCAACUCGCCUGCAUGAAGUCGGAGUUGCUAGUAACCGCACGUCAGCCACAGUGCGGUGAAUACGUUCCCGGGCCUUGUACACACCGCCCGUCACGUCAUGGAAGUUGGUCAUGCCCGAAACCGGUGAGCGAACCGCAAGGAAGCAGCCGUCCAAGGCAGGGCCGGUAACUGGGACGAAGUCGUAACAAGGUA